ACGUCGAGACUGGAGCGCCCGAACUGAGCCACCUUCGCGAACUCGGAGCGCGGCGGCCCGACUCAACCGCGGAGGCGCCCGGACGCGUAAAGUCAAGGCCUCAACCCGAAGGCAGCGCCUAAGAAUCGCACUCCCUAGAAUGCUCCAGCACUCACAGGGGCCUUCUCUGGGGUAACGGGACCCCAGCCGGAUACUACAGCUCCAGCUGCUUGCGUCCCAUGCAUCGCCCUCUCGGGAGAGACCAGCUACCUAACUUUCUCUACCAGAGACCGCGCUGGCGUCUCGGGAGGGUGAGCACAGUCAGACCACUUUCCAUUAGCCAUGGAACUUGUCCGGAAAAGUCGACCUCAAGUAGCCCAGAGGGCGCCCAGGGGAGCCCACUUUCUGCCUGGACUCUUCUUGAAGGAGCACACUCCCUCUUCCUGGCCCUUCUUCCUCAGUGGCCAGCAGCCUGUUCAGCAGAUGCAUUUCUGUGUUUGCCCAGCAGACCUCCCAGGCUGGCCCAGGCGGGAUCCCUUGGAGAGACUUCUGGGAGGGGCCCAAUAAAGCUUUGUGCAAUGAGAAA
rnacentral:lncRNA from 1 species